AUCAAUAUAAACAAUGAGUUCGUCAUAGAU
rnacentral:guide_RNA from 1 species